rnacentral:misc_RNA from 1 species
GAUGAAGAACGUAGCGAAAUGCGAUAAGUAGUGUGAAUUGCAGAAUUCAGUGAAUCAUCGAAUCUUUGAACGCACAUUGCGCCCCUUGGUAUUCCAUGGGGCAUGCCUGUUCGAGCGUCAUUUGUACCUUCAAGCCUUGCUUGGUGUUGGGUGUUUGUCUCGCCUCUGCGCGCAGACUCGCCUCAAAACAAUUGGCAGCCGGCGUAUUGAUUUCGGAGCGCAGUACAUCUCGCGCUUUGCACUCAGAACGACGACGUCCAAAAGUACAUUUUUACACUCUUGACCUCGGAUCAGGUAUGGAUACCCGCUGAACUUAAGCAUAUCAAUAAGCGGAGGA